GCCUCAAACAAAGCCCUACACCACGCCACAUACCCCCACCACAACACCCCCCCCCCAAAAAACAUUUUAACAAUUUAGUAAAGGCGAUUGAAAAAUACUUAGGAGCCCUAACAAUAGUACCGCAAGGGAAUUGUGAAAUAUAAAUGAAAUAAACCCAAGCACAACAAAGCAAAGAUUAAACCUUGUACCUUUUGCAUCAUGGUCUAGCUAGUCCAACCAAGCACAAUGAAUUUUAGUUUGACCCCCCGAAACUAGGCGAGCUACUUCAAAACAGCCUCUAAGAGCCAACCCGUCUCUGUUGCAAAAGAGUGGGAAGAUUUUCAAGUAGCAGUGACAGACCUACCGAGCCUAGAGAUAGCUGGUUAUUCAGGAAAAGGAUCUUAGUCCUACCUUAAACUUUUCUGUAACACAUAAUACAUUUUAAGAGCUAUUCAAAUAAGGUACAGCCUAUUUGAAACAGGAUACAACCUCCAAUAUUGGGUAAUGACAAACAAAACUGAUCUAGUGGGCCUAAAAGCAGCCACCUAACACAAAAGCGUUACAGCUUUAUCACUCCAAACAAUUAAUCCCCUAAAUAAUACAAAACCCACAACCACUACUGAAUGAUUCCAUGAUCACAUGGAAAACCCAAUGCUAGAACUAGUAACAAGAAAUCAACACUCUCCAAAAUGUAAGCAUAAGUCGGAAUGAACCCCUCACCGACAAUCACCGCCAAUGACCUUAUAGUAGCAACUCCACAAGAAAACUCUACCACAUUAAGCGUUAACCUUACACCAGAACAUUACCGGAAAGAUUUAAAAAAGAGGAAGGAACUCGGCAAAUAAACGAUCUCGCCUGUUUACCAAAAACAUCGCCUCCUGCCACAACAUAGGAGGUCCAGCCUGCCCAGUGACAAGUUAAACGGCCGCGGUACCCUAACCGUGCGAAGGUAGCACAAUCACUUGUUCUUUAAAUGAGGACUAGUAUGAACGGCAUCACGAAGAUCACGCUGUCUCCCCCUUUUAAUCAGUGAAACUGAUCUCCUCGUGAAGAAGCGAGGAUAUUUCUAUAAGACGAGAAGACCCCAUGGAGCUUUAAACUCAGUAACACUUGCCUCUACACAUAUCAACUCAAUUAAGCAAUCAUGUAUACUAGUUUUAGGUUGGGGUGACCGCGGAGUAAAACAAAACCUCCACAAUAAACGGAACUAACUUCCUAAUCAAAGACCCACAACUCAAAGAAUCAAUAAAUUGACAUAAAUUGACCCAAUUAAUUUUGAUCAACGAACCUAGUUACCCUGGGGAUAACAGCGCAAUCCAUUUCAAGAGCUCCUAUCGACAAAUGGGUUUACGACCUCGAUGUUGGAUCAGGGUAUCCAAGUGGUGCAGCCGCUACUAAAGGUUCGUUUGUUCAACGAUUAAAACCCU
rnacentral:rRNA from 1 species